GCCAAACCAUGGCAUCAUCAUAUACAUAUUAUUAUUAUUACUGUUAUACUGUAUCAUCUUAAUUGUUACAUACAUGCAUGGAUGACCAUUCAAAUUUCUGAUGCUAGCAAGUGAUCCACAUGCUGCCAAUUGCAGUACCAUAUUAUUAGUAGUAUUCAUUACUGGAUGGGUCCACAAAUCUUGUGUGAUCAAUUAGUGUGAUGAAUGCAUGGCGUAUAAUAAGAUCCUUCUCUUGGACCGCUCCUUGCACCUAUAAAUCAUGAAUCAUCAACUUAGCACAGUAUUUAUAAAUAAAUACAUGGAAGGAGUAAAUACUCACAUGAAAUCUCUCUAUCGUAGCCAUGCACUUGCUAGAUUUAAUUUAACGGUGAAUAAAUCAAAGGGCCAUCCGUCAAAUAAGUUCGUUUAUUUAAACUAGAUCCAUUUGUGUUGAUCUUAAAUAUAUAAAAUAGCAAUUACCUUAAAUAUAUAUGUUAUAUAAUAUUAGGUUUUGUCUAUUAUCAUUUUAUCGAGGUAGUAUGUACCAUAUACCAUAUAUACAAUAAUUAAGGUGUGUAGAGUGUAGACAUAUAUGUAUCCAUACAUAUUUUACCAUUAGAAUGGGCAUGUGAGCAAUUUUACACCAGGAACUAGGGCAUGGUCAUUUAUAUCUGACUUCAAAUGGCCACAAUAUUUAAGUGGCCUGACUAAAUGGACCAACAUUUAUUAAUUGCUUCUCUGAAUGGAAUGGGGUUAUCAGCCAUGGAAAAAAUGUUUUAUUAAAUUUUUUAUUUAGACUUGUUAAAUCAACAUUUAUAUAUAUGAUGAUGUUAACAAUUCAACAAAAUAAAAGAAUGGUGAUGUUAACAAUCAAAUUAAUUAGGCGUUAAAUAUUACGUUGUAAAGAAUAUUUAUUUAUUUAUUUUUUGUAAAUAGUAGUCUCAGAUAGAAUGCCUCUAUUAUUAAUCACGACUACAUGAUGCUUCACUCAUCAAAUUGACAUUGUCAAACCGAAGUAGGUGAAUUCUUCGUUAGGAGUCUUGAGAGUGGUUGAAAUUUUGGUAAGUAGUUUGUAGAAAACUUAUUUGUGAUUGUGAUUUCUAGCCCGUUACUCAAAGUUUAAUAACCUGUAGAUAAGGGGAAAGAGACAACGUUUCUCACUGGUCAAACUUUAUGAAAUUCCACAAAGCUCAAUGUUCUGGAAUUCAUUGACCACGCAUUUUAUGGCGUGCAUCCCACCAUUGCCAUCACUUCCAUGAACUUAGCUUGUUCUCAUUGGAUUUACGGAACCUAAUCUUCUUCAACUACUUACAUGCUCUCAUUUUGGUUUAUAAUAAUGUUCUAAGUAAAACGUAGCUAUAAUUUGACGCCUAAUUAACUAUACAACCUUCUUACAUUAUACUUCUACAAUGUGUACAAUAGGUUAUAUGAGUUAUAAAAUGAACAUUUUCAUACUAUCUAGAAUAACUAUCCGAGUACUAGGGAUAAUAAACAUCUUCCCAAUGACCUUUCGGAUCUAAAACUCUAAUACCAUGUCAUGAUACCACUUAUCCCAAAAACUUCAGCUGAUGAGAAAAUAUAACACUAAUAAUUAUAUCUCUAAUACUCCAUAAAUCUUCAUUAUUCAUAUUGUACAAAUAUUCCAUUGACCCCUCGUACUUUCCCUUUAUUUAUUCAUGUUACAUAUUACUAUAUGUUAGUAGUCAACAUUCCAAUAUUUCAAAUUCAACAAAACUAAUAAGCAUUUAUGUUUCCUUUGUCGUCUGCGUUAACAUUUUGUAAUCACACGAGCAAGCGAUGCAACACUAAUAUAGAGCGGGUGUUUUGUGGUCAUGCAAGUGAAACAAAAAAGUUAGUAAAGUCCAAAAUCUCACCUCAAUUUCUCUCAAAAUAUUAUUAUGGUUUUGAUGGGUCAAACAAAGAAAGGUGUCGUUUUCAUAUUGAAUAUAUAAUACAAUAAAUAUUGAUAUUAUAGUCCCCUCCUCACCUCUGACACGUCUUCCAGCUAAGUAAACUUUGACCAAAGACCAUAUCAUCAAAACCACUACCAUUAGGCACUAGUCACCAUAUUCAUAAUAUAAUUGAUGAUUGAUAUCUUAUUCUUAAUUGAAUUUUCUUCUGCUUUUAAACGUAACACUGCUCGUUAUCUCUAGUGUGUGCGUGCGGGUUUUGGUGUUUGUGUGUGUGAAGAAAAACAAGAACAAUAACAAUAGAGAGUAAGAAGAGCGAAGAGAAGAAAAAGGAAGCAAUGGCAAAGGUAAGGGAUAAGCUAUACGUCACUGUUCCGAGUUUAUUCCGAUGCCCAAUUUCGAUGGAUGUGAUGA
rnacentral:lncRNA from 1 species